rnacentral:lncRNA from 1 species
CCCAAAAUAGGUCUCUGGCAUAGGGAUUAUUUUGAGCUAAUGGCAAUUGAGAACCAGCAGGGACAGUAAAAGCUGUUUACCUCCUCCGACCUAAGAAGAGGGUUCCUCUUUUAUAAGAGAAAUUUACAUUUAUACAGGAAACUUCCUUGUGUAAAGGAAGAGAGCUAGCUACUCCGGGAAAGGACUCUUGUCACCCUAGAUGCUCCUAUCUGCAUAACAAGACAGCUGCUUUCUUUUGUCAGUUUAAUUUCCUGGGUCCCAGUUGGAAAACCUAGGAUGGAGGAGGGAAAAAUCUUCAACACCUAGAGUUUUGGCAACCGCUGUGCGACAGCUGGGACACCCCACUUGCUCCAGAGGCUGAAGUGGAAAUCUGGUACCCCUGGCAAAAGCCUCCUCCACCCUGAACUUCUGUCCAAAGCAACAGAACCAAGUGACCAUGGACUAAAACCUGAAACUGUGAGCAAUUUGUUUAUCUCAGGUGUUUUAUUACAACAAUGGAAAGCUGACUUCCAUAGGUUUAUUUCUGCUUCGGUUCUACAAUUAUGUGAGCUUCCAUAUUUGACUUUUAAAUCUUUACUGUCA